GUUCAUAUGAUGAAUUGAUCAAGUCGGAUACCCCUUCACUCCUAAAUGAGUGAAACUUUAAUUCUGAUCACC
ensembl:snoRNA